UACGUAGGGUGCGAGCGUUGUCCGGAAUUAUUGGGCGUAAAGAGCUUGUGGGCGGUCUGUCGCGUCUGCUGUGAAAAUCCGGGGCUCAACCCCGGACUUGCAGUGGGUACGGGCAGACUAGAGUGUGGUAGGGGAGACUGGAAUUCCUGGUGUAGCGGUGAAAUGCGCAGAUAUCAGGAGGAACACCGGUGGCGAAGGCGGUUCUCUGGGCCUUACCUGACGCUGAGGAGCGAAAGCGUGGGGAGCGAACAGG
rnacentral:rRNA from 1 species